rnacentral:pre_miRNA from 1 species
AGGAGGAACAGCCCCAGUGGCGGGGCAGCUCUGGAAACCUGGAUUCAGCCCCCGCAGUGCCUCUCGAGGCACCACUCUGCAGGGCCUGGAGGUCCCGGGGCGGG